rnacentral:rRNA from 1 species
AUGGCGUCGCACAAUAGUGCGUCUGCUAUCGUUGCAAAGACCGUGCGGGCGUCCCACGAUGUGGCGAUAAGCGGCUACUCGGCCACCAAAAUCUAUUAUACCCACGGCACGUACAUAAAAUCAGCCAACUUUCUUGCCGGAGGCCGUCGCUGGUACCUGCGGUACUACCCUAACGGCUGCUGCUCAUUCGACAGGGGAUGUGUAACAUUCUUGCUAUACCAUGAUGACGGCGACAACGGCCAAUACAAAGUGCCAGUGGGCUAUAAUAUUUCCUUGCUCGGCCCGGACGGCAAUCCAGUACAAGGCUACAGAACCUUCCACAAGACGACCGUCGGCGAACCAGCAGACUACGAAACGUCCGGACUCUUCGGCGCAACGGACCUGGAGCAAUCGGCUUACCUCAAGGACGAUGCCUUCACCGUCCGGUGCAAAUUCACCGUGCCAAUGAUCGUUACGGAGACCAUCGUCCAGCUGCCGCGAAACGAGCCAAGCAGUCCGACUCCGACUCAAGUACCCGCCGACGUGCACGAGACUCUAGUCCACGUCUUCUCGGACGAGGUGCCCACUGAUGUGGCCCUGGAGGUCGGCGAUGAGACCUUCCGGGCACACAGGCGUUUCCUCGCCGCUCAGUCGCCGGUGUGCGCUGCCUUGUUCACGGGGUCUAUGAGGGAGAACACCGCCCCUUCAGUUCGGAUCCACGACAUGGAGCCCCGGGUGUUGGAGGCCAUGCUCGGCUUCAUCUACAGAGGCAACCUGCUGCCACCUCAUGUCGUUGACGAGAGUGACAGAAUCGACAUGACUCAACAUCUGCUUGUGGCCGCGGACAGGUAUCACCUCCAGAGGCUCAAGUCCAUCUGCGAGGAGAAGCUACGCAGACAUAUCAACACAACCACAGUGGCCACUACGAUGGAGCUGGCUCACCGGCAUGGCUGUCAUACGCUCAAGGACGCAUGCUACGAUUUCCUUGCUCCUCCUAGAGGCAAUCUCAAAGCAAUUCUCAAGAGCGAGGGCUUUGAGCAACUCAUCAUCGAUUACCCGUCCGUUGUAGUGGAGCUAUUAGCCAGGGUUGCUCCCUCACCCCAUUGA